UACGUAGGGUCCAAGCGUUAUCCGGAAUCACUGGGCGUAAAGCGUGCGUAGGUGGCGUGUUAAGUGUGAUGUUAAAUCGCGGGGCUCAACCCUGUCGAUGUGUCGCAUACUGGCAUGCUAGAGGGAAGCAGAGGCAAGUGGAAUUUGUAGUGUAGCAGUGAAAUGCGUAGAUAUUACAAGGAACACCAAUGGCGAAGGCAGCUUGCUGGGCUUCUUCUGACACUGAGGUACGAAAGCGUGGGGAGCGAACAGG
rnacentral:rRNA from 1 species